rnacentral:rRNA from 1 species
UGCGCCCCCUGGCAUUCCGGGGGGCAUGCCUGUCCGAGCGUCAUUGCUGCCCAUCAAGCCCGGCUUGUGUGUUGGGUCGUCGUCCCCCCCGGGGGACGGGCCCGAAAGGCAGCGGCGGCACCGUGUCCGGUCCU